AUGUGAUGCUACUGGUCAGUGUGUUUGCAAAGAAGGUGUGACUGGUGUGAAGUGUUCUGUUUGUAAGGAUGGCUUCUACAUUUUGUUUCCUGAUGAUGCUAGCAGUUGUCAGUCGUGUGGUUGUUCUCUGUCAUCUUCAGUUUCAUUGACGUGUGAUAAGAUCUCAGGACAAUGUACUUGUAAAUCUGGUCUGACUGGACGAACUUGUGACAUCAUUGAAGACUUUCACUGGCUCCCCUUUUUGGAGGGUCUCAUUUACGAAGCAGAAUUUGCUGUUCUUAGUGCUGGAGCAACAGUUGAGAAACAAAUUAGGGAUUCUCACAACUUCACCGGAAUAGGUGGAGUAAGAU